rnacentral:rRNA from 1 species
CCUGGAGACUCCUACGGGAGGCAGCAGUGAGGAAUCUUCCACAAUGGGCGAAAGCCUGAUGGAGCAACGCCGCGUGCAGGAUGAAGGCCUUCGGGUUGUAAACUGCUUUUAUAAGUGAGGAAUAUGACAGUAACUUAUGAAUAAGGAUCGGCUAACUACGUGCCAGCAGCCGCGGUCAUACGUAGGAUCCGAGCGUUAUCCGGAGUGACUGGGCGUAAAGAGUUGCGUAGGUGGUUUAAUAAGCGAAUAGUGAAAUCUGGUGGCUCAACCAUUCAGACUAUUAUUCGAACUGUUAAACUCGAGAGCAGAAGAGGUAGCUGGAAUUUCUAGUGUAGGAGUGAAAUCCGUAGAUAUUAGAAGGAACACCGAUGGCGUAGGCAGGCUACUGGGCUGUUUCUGACACUGAGGCACGAAAGCGUGGGGAGCGAACCGGAUUAGAUACCCUUGUAGUCC